GACCUGUGAGUUUAACACUUCAUGACUGAGAGCUGCCCUUCAUGGCAACAGAUCACACAGCAGCAAUGACUUUCAUCACCAUCUUCAUAUGGACACUUGUCUGCUUUCAUGGUUCCAGUGGCCAGAUUACUGUGACUCAGACUCCAUCAGUGACAUCUGUUCUCCCAGCACAGACAGUCACUGUGAGCUGUAAGACCAGCAGUUCUGUGGGUACCUGUUCUUAUAGU